GAUUUCUGGGUUCACGUUGCAAGAAUCAACAUUCCUUGCAUAGGAUGAAUCCCUGAUUGUUUACAGAGAGAGAGCUAAGGGAUAAAACUUCAACGAUAACAUGAAAAUGACGAUGACACAUGAUAUUUAUUAGCUUCAGCUCUACGCCCACUUGCUUUUAAUCACAGCCGUCCAAUGAUCUUCUUAUCACAGCCGUCCACG